AUUUGAAAAAAUGACAUUGCCACAAAAUUUUAAAUAUGAAAUCGAUGCAUUUUAUUAUUCGUGUAAUCUUUCAUGCGAAUAAAAAAUACUAUUGUUUUGGCGAUGAGAAAUUGCUCCUUCCAGUGCCAGAGUUAGCGAAGCUUACAGUGAAACAAAUGUCUUCAGUAAACGUUUUUUUAGCAAGUUUCAACGAUAAAUGUAUGUGACGAUGUGCGUUCAUUGAUGGUUAGAUUCCAUAGGUUUUUGCCUCGUCGACGUCCCACCGACGUUCAUUAGUAAUAUAACGUGAAAAUGAAUUCGAUUCCUCCAAUAAAGCCUUUCGAAGACUAAUGGAUCGAGAUUUCGGCCUCUUGAAACUGACAAAAGACUUUGGCGUUUGGACAAUGAAUGAAUGCCCGGUCAAUGAGAACGAAGCAAAUAGUUUUUCCAGUUCGAUUUGGCCCUGACAUGUCGAGGAAAUAUCGGCGCAACAAGACAAUCAGCCAUUGAAAAAUCCAGUCAUGCCCUAACAUGGAGUUAAUGUUUAAACAUGUUUCGCCGAUCAGUCUGGGAGCAAAAAGAGGCUCGAUGGCCAGGUGUGGACGCAUAAUGGGCCAUUUACAUUCACAUGCGGUCGGGGCAGAUAAGAUUAAAAUACAAACUGGCUGCAAGCCCUUUGUUUGCAAAGUCUUUGAAAUUUACCAGAUUGAUGAUUGUAGCCAAACUGACUGACUCGUCAAAACUACUUCAAAACGCACCUCAUUCCAAUAAAUAUGAAAUGCUUUGCGCACGGAUUAUUCCUUAUUA